GGCUUAACACAUGCAAGUCGAGCGGGGGAAGGUAGCUUGCUCCUGGACCUAGCGGCGGACGGGUGAGUAAUGCUUAGGAAUCUGCCUAUUAGUGGGGGACAACAUCUCGAAAGGGGUGCUAAUACCGCAUACGUCCUACGGGAGAAAGCGGGGGAUCUUCGGACCUUGCGCUAAUAGAUGAGCCUAAGUCGGAUUAGCUAGUUGGUGGGGUAAAGGCCUACCAAGGCGACGAUCUGUAGCGGGUCUGAGAGGAUGAUCCGCCACACUGGGACUGAGACACGGCCCAGACUCCUACGGGAGGCAGCAGUGGGGAAUAUUGGACAAUGGGGGGAACCCUGAUCCAGCCAUGCCGCGUGUGUGAAGAAGGCCUUAUGGUUGUAAAGCACUUUAAGCGAGGAGGAGGCUACUUUAGUUAAUACCUANAGNUAGUGNACGUUACUCGCAAAAUAAGNACCGGCUANNUCUGUGCC
rnacentral:rRNA from 1 species